rnacentral:rRNA from 1 species
UACGGGGGGGGCAAGCGUUGUUCGGAUUUACUGGGCGUAAAGGGUGUGUAGGCGGUUGCGUAAGUCUGGUGUGAAAUCUUCAUCGGUCAACGGGAAGAGGUCACUGGAAACUGCGUAACUCGAGUGUAGUAGAGGCAAGCGGAAUUCCUGGCGUAGCGGUGGAAUGUGUAGAUAUCAGGAAGAACACCUGUGGCGAAAGCGGCUUGCUGGGCCAUUACUGACGCUGAGACACGAAAGCGUGGGGAGCAAACGGG